CAAAAUUUAAUCUUUUCAUGAAAAGAAAAUCAAGCAAAUUGUACUGAUUUUUACAAAGAUAUAAGUGACGCAUGACAAAAUUAAACAAAUAAUACUUAGAUUAGUGGCCAAAUCUUCCCCCCUCCCUAAUUUCCACAUUUUACCUCAUUACAAAUCUUUUGCUGUCAUCCAUUUGCUCGAAUGGCGGCCUGAUUAAGAAAAGAGACAUAAAAAAAUCAUCAUCAAUUGACAUAUGGAAUAGCAUGGACAAAUUAAAAUAUUGUUGACAUUAAAUUCUGAACUGUAAUACACUUAUUUCAUACUUUAAACUCAAUUAUGAACCCAACAAGACUGGCAAUCAAGCUAACAUCAACACAGUAUCAUGCCCAAUUCAGCAAUAAAAAGGCUUUGUUUCCGCUAAACAUUUAGUAUGAAUCAAUGUUACACAAUUCGUGGUUCGUAGGGGAUAGAGGCGAAUUAGGUAACCCUGGUAUGAAUACAAUCGUAUGUCUCCAAUUUGGGUUUCAACUUUCGAGACGACUAAAGCAAUUGAGUAACCUUCACUAACGAGUACUAGGGUUAAAAAAUGUUUUUAUCGGCCUGCGCAGCAACCUAUAGAGGAAGUACUCGAACAAUUAGCUUAGAUGAAUAAGAAGUUCUCUAAUUGGUGACUAAUAAAAAGGUCAAAGGUUUUGAUUUUAUAUUAUAAUUGCCCGACGGGGUUGGUAACGGGAGAUAUGUGGGAGAUUGAUAUAUUAAUUAUAUGAAUUCCGAGAAAUAAGAAGUUGUCUUGUAAAAAGGUUAGCAUGAAGUUAACUUUAAUCAUUUGACAUCACUGUAUUAAUCAAUUAAUCAACUUUAUCACGAAGUCAUGGUAACCGGAUCCUUCAAUACCAUGGUUAAACAAAGCUUAUGCAUGUAAGUACUAGGUGAUACACAAGAGAUGCUACUAAAUGCCUAUAGUGCUUCUUAAUUAACUUGCCUAGUAAACGACAAAGGAAAUUUUAGGAGCAUGAUUAGAAGCGAAAGGAACAGUACUAGUGUUUAAUGUACUUACACUGAUAGGCAACCCUCCACCGAAAUCACGUAUGGGAG
rnacentral:lncRNA from 1 species